GCAUAUCAAUAAGCGGAGGAAAAGAAACCAACAGGGAUUGCCCUAGUAACGGCGAGUGAAGCGGCAACAGCUCAAAUUUGAAAUCUGGCUUCGGCCCGAGUUGUAAUUUGCAGAGGAUGCUUUUGGUGCGGUGCCUUCCGAGUUCCCUGGAACGGGACGCCACAGAGGGUGAGAGCCCCGUAUGGUCGGACACCAAUCCUGUGUAAAGCUCCUUCGACGAGUCGAGUAGUUUGGGAAUGCUGCUCUAAAUGGGAGGUAAAUCUCUUCUAAAGCUAAAUACCGGCCAGAGACCGAUAGCGCACAAGUAGAGUGAUCGAAAGAUGAAAAGCACCUUGAAAAGGGGGUUAAACAGUACGUGAAAUUGUUGAAAGGGAAGCACUUGUGACCAGACUUGGGCCGGGCGGCUCAUCAGGGGUUCUCCCCUGUGCAUUCCGCCCGGUACAGGCCAGCAUCGGUUCUUACCGGGGGAUAAGAACGGCAGGAACGUGGCUCCCUCUCGGGGGAGUGUUAUAGCCUGCCGUACGAUACCCUGGCGGGGACCGAGGUUCGCGCUUCCGCAAGGAUGCUGGCGUAAUGGUUACUAGUGACCCGUCUUGAAACACGGACCAAGGAGUCGUCCAUUAGAGCGAGCGUUUGGGUGUAAAACCCGCACGCGUAAUGAAAGUGAAAUUAGGUGAGAGCUUCGGCGCAUCAUCGACCGAUCCUGAUGUUCUCGGAUGGAUUUGAGUAAGAGUUUUAACGGACGGACCCGAAAGACAGUGAACUAUGCUUGUAUAGGGUGAAGCCAGAGGAAACUCUGGUGGAGGCUCGCAGCGGUUCUGACGUGCAAAUCGAUCGUCAAAUAUGAGCAUGG
rnacentral:rRNA from 1 species